rnacentral:rRNA from 1 species
AACGAACGCUGGCGGCAUGCCUAACACAUGCAAGUCGAACGAGACCUUCGGGUCUAGUGGCGCACGGAUGCGUAACGCGUGGGAACCUGCCCUUAGGUUCGGAAUAACUCCCCGAAAGGGGUGCUAAUACCGGAUAAUGUCUUCGGACCAAAGAUUUAUCGCCUUUGGAUGGGCCCGCGUUGGAUUAGCUAGUUGGUAGGGUAAAAGCCUACCAAGGCGACGAUCCACAGCUGGUCUGAGAGGAUGAUCAGCCACACUGGGACUGAGACACGGCCCAGACUCCUACGGGAGGCAGCAGUGGGGAAUAUUGGACAAUGGGCGAAAGCCUGAUCCAGCAAUGCCGCGUGAGUGAUGAAGGCCUUAGGGUUGUAAAGCUCUUUUACCCGGGAUGAUAAUGACAGUACCGGGAGAAUAAGCUCCGGCUAACUCCGUG